rnacentral:rRNA from 1 species
AUGUCCCGCGGCAACCCCGAGAUUCAUCAUGCCAGGGGCGGCCUCCUAAGCUAUGUCUGGUGGCUUCCCUGGUUCGUGCAAAAGAUGGCCGCCCAGCAUCGCGCGGCCGUCCAGCUGCGGGAACUCAAGGACCGGGCGCGUGACAUUGGCGAUCGCCGAUUGAGGUACGCCGCUGAGAUGCCAGCAAAGGGGGUCACAUUGUCAUCAUCAGCCCAUGCGGCCACAACAUCUGUUGCUUACGAAGACAGUGAAGAAGACGAUGACGAUCAAGGCGUGGAGGUAACGACAAUGGCCGAUUCAAGAUGGGCAUUAUUGCAGUCUAGUACACCAGAAGACAACAUUAGGUUGCAGCUAGCGAAAUGGAUGAUAGAGGAUGUCGCGCGACGAGACACUUCAAAGGAGAAAUUAAUACCAUCCAUCGCCAUUGUGGCACCAUAUAAGAAAGAAGCCCUCGCUGUUGCAAAGGAAGCUUCGGCUAUGUGGGGAAAAGGUUACACACGCAGGCGCAGUGUCUUGGUCGACAUCCCAGCAGUGCACAAUUAUUCUGAGUUGCUACGAACCAAGGAUAUUCUCUACUACAUCCUGCGUGUGCUGCGGCCCACCGAAUCCAAUCCAGAAAAACAGGAUGAUCAAUUCGGCUUCCUUGAGGAUCUGCAUUCUGACAAAAUGGAAGUCUCUAUUUACUCAGAAAAAUACACGCUGUUUGAUGAAAUAGACAAAAAUAUUCAUGCAAUGAAGGUUGACAACAAGAUUGCAGGAAUCAUGAAAACUAUUGAACAAAGGAAGCACGUCCUGCUGCUGCUCCACCCCAAUGGAGAGAAUAUGGACGUGUUGGAAUCCUGUAAAGAUGAGCCCAUAGGGGUAUUCCUCCGAGCGUUGUGGAUGCUCAAGAACAAACCAUAUGUAUUUGAGUUUGAGUGUAGUACCACACAAAGCCAUGCAAGGAAGUUAACCACACAUUCGCAGGAAGAUAUUAUCAAGAAAACAGCCAACAUGCUUGAACAGCAUAUGAAACUGAAAGAAGCACAUGCAGAAUCGAUUUGUCUCACGAAAACCCAUUAUGAGCAAAUCCUACGGGAGGUGUUUUACCCUUUGAGCUUCCAAGAGUCCAGCCAAGCCACUGCAACUAGAUAUGAUGAUCAAAACAGACAAAUGUUUGGCAAGACACUACAGGAGCUGCAGGAAAAUAAAUCUGACAUUAAACUAGCAAAAGCAGAGCUGGAAGACAAGUCCAUGAAGAAAAACGAUACAGCUGCUAGGAAAUCAAACCCGGAUGCCCUUAUUGAAGAAACCAUGAUCAAGAUUCAACAAAUGCAUUCGAAGAUGAAACACAAGCUCAAGAUCAAAAGAAUCAUGGACAAAAUUAAUGACUGUUUGAAGAGACAAGGUUGUCAGGAUCAGAUACUGGUUAUCCUCAAACUUGAUGAUGACUAUGUAUCCAGAUGGGAGGAGACCAGGAAUGAUUUCAGCUUGUUGGGUGGCAUAGCCGGUGCACUGAUGCUGACAUUUGAGGUAAACAGAGCAGAAGCUAGACAGUAUUGUUGGCCGCGGCGGGAACCUAUAGAUUAUUCUCUUCUCGGCCUCUACCGUGAUACUGCACUCGAGCUUACAAAAAUGGAGAUGGCUGAAGAUAGCUGGCAGAUUCUUCAUGACAUCUUGGACAACUGCAAGUCAAAUGAAUUCUGCAUGAAGAUCUUUGUUCAUGCUUUAUAUGCCAACCCCAAGAGGAGCAGUGAAGAACUAUGCAAGUUGUGCAAAGCCCUGCAGCAGGUUUCAGAUAACUCAAUGAACAACAUUGCUAAGAAGAUGUUAAAGUUCUCUUAUAGUGAUUUGCCUAAGGAUUACAAGUUAUGCUUGAUGUACCUAGCAAUUUUCCCUCGACGACAACCCAUCAGGCGGUCUACCUUGAUAGGACGAUGGGUCGUUGAAGGGCUAGUAACCAAGGAAGACUGGGAAAGUACUGUGCGUCAUGCCAAUCAAUGUUUUGACGUGCUUGUCACCCGUUGGCUUGUUUAUCCUGCUGAUACUAGUUCUAUGGGACAGGUAAAGAGUUGUGUGAUAGGUGAUCAAGUCCAUGGAUUCAUUACUAAGAUCGCCAGAAAACAUGGCAUUUUAGGAAAACGCCUGUCACAUCACUUGGCUCGCUACUUCUCCAUUUUCAACCAUCUCCGCCUCCGUAGCUCUGAUAGGAUUGACAAAUUCUUCUCAAAGCUCUUUGAAGAAUCAUCGCGAGUAUCCCUGAUAAAAGUGUUAGAUCUAGAAGGUUGUCAAUGCUUUGGUGGGAAGAACCAACACUACCUCAAGGACAUCUGCAGCAAGAUGUUACUGCUGAAGUAUCUAAGCCUAAGGGGGACAAAUCUUACCAAGCUGCCAAGUGAAAUCAACAACCUCCGUGAGUUGGAAGUAUUGGAUAUCCGACAGACAAGGGUGCCUGCAGCUGCAACAGUACAUGUCAUACUCUUGAAGUUGAAGCGUUUGCUGGCUGGCUCGGUUGUUAUGAGUUCAGGGCCAAGCAAUAAUGAAGUAUCUUACGUUAUGGUUCCUGACAAGAUCGAAAAGAUGACAAAUAUGGAGGUAAUGUCCAAUGUCAAGGCACGAAAUAGUAAUGAUUUGAAGGAUAUUGGCAAGCUAUGGCGGUUGAGGAAGCUUGGUGUGGUUAUUGAGCAGAAGGACAAACUCAUCAGGAAUUUGCUUCAAACUAUCUGUGACCUGCAUGAGUGCCUCCGCUCUCUGUCAAUCACUCUUCCCAUAACUGGAGAAGACUCUUCUGAAGAUAAUUCUCCCAAGCUUCUUUCCUUUGAGGGACAGUGUCCCAAGAUUCUGGAGAGCCUAAGCAUUCGCGGAACCGCAGAAACGGGUCAACUUUUUCAGUUGUUGACCAAAGAUGGUGACCAACUUCAACUUGCCAAGGUAACUCUAUCUGGUACUCGACUAAGGCAGGCUGAUCUGGAGAUCCUCGCCAAGCUGCCCAAAUUAGUCUGUCUCAGGCUCCAAGACAGGGCAUACAUCGAUGACAAGCUCAGUUUCAACAAGGAGAAAUUUAAGGGUCUCAAGUGCUUUCUUAUUGAGGGUUCCGAGAUAACUGUCCUUAGCUUCAAUGGUGGAGCUCCUAAACUCGAGAAGAUCAUUCUGUCGUCCACUGAUGGCCUACAGUCUCUUUCUAGAGUCGAAGACCUUCAUGAACUGAAGGAAGUCGAGUUGAAGAACAGCAAUAAGCUAUCAUUAUCAUUAUUUGAAAAGGCGAAAAACAUCUCCAAGGUGACUCUCUGUCGUACCAUUCUUUGUCAAGAUGAGGUGGAGAUUCUUGCCAAGAUGCCUAACAUGCGCAGCCUAGUACUCAAGGAGAUAUCUUAUGCACAGAGCCUGCUCAUCUUCUACAAAGACGACUUCCCAAGGCUCAACCUUCUAACCAUCGACUUUUCUGUCAUCACCUGUAUUGGCUUUACUACCCAAUCUGCUACUAAGCUUGAGAAAAUCAUAUGGUCCUACAGAAAGAGUACACUACUCUCCGGCAUUGACGAGCUUCCAAAACUGAAGGAGCUCGAGUUCAAUGGUGAUUUUGUCCCCGAUGAGGUGAUAGAUGCAUUGAAGAAACACAAGAACAAUCCCAAGCUUAUACACAACAAACCAGAAAACCAGGAAGCGGGAAACAUACCAGAAAAGAAAGAUGCUCCAAGAUUCCCAUUAUUCUGGAAGAAAGAGGAUUGA